rnacentral:tRNA from 1 species
CCGUAGCUCAGCUGGAUAGAGCGUCGGCCUCCGAAGCCGAAGGUCGCAGGUUCGACUCCUGCCGGG